AUAGUAAGUAUAGGGAAUCUUACAACCUCAGGAUAAUGUAAAGCUCUUAGAAAAUGUACCUAAUGGAAUGUUUGUCACAUGUUUUUUUCCAGAGAUCACUGGAAUUGCACAGAAAACUAUGGGUAUUCUAUGGGGGAAAAGGGUGGUGAUGUGUGCUCUUUUAAAGAUUUUGACGAGCUGUCUAUUAAAAAAUCAGCUUACUUUCAUUUGACUUAUACAUUCAUAAUUUUAACCCUUUCUUUUUUCCAUAGUAAAAAAAUUUUAAUAGUCACAAACCAAAAGGAAAAAAAUAGUUUUUAGUGUUUUGUUCAACAAUACAAAUAAAAAAUUCUUCACAAUGUUUUCAAAUAUAGAAGAUGGAUUAAUUGGAGCUUGAGUGAAAAUGGUUGAACAACAAUAUAAGUAUUUUAAAUUGUUAUUGUCAACCUGGAAAGAUAUCAUUUUGUUGAGACAUAGAACUUUACACUUGGUCAUCUCUGUUCAAUAUUCUUAUCAGUGUUAAUGUACCAAGAAUUACUUUAAAACUAUAGAUACUAAGAUGUCAUACCAUACUUUCCACACCACACCAAGAUGCUGGAUUUCAUUUCUUCCUUCAAAUGUCCGUAGCACUUUUUUGCCUCAGGGAGUUUGGAGCUGAUGUUUUCUUUACACAAAAUACUCAUUCUACUCAUUCAGUUUCUCCACUGCCUACCACACUAUAUUUUGGACUAGCCCAUGACUCAAAUAUUUUAUAAAGUUCUGACUGCCCAUUUUAAAAAAUGGGCACGGUAAAGAAGAGAGAUUCACAUUAUUUCUUGAAGUCCCAGAGAGAGUUUAACAGAGGGCCAUUUGGUAGAAGUUACUGGGAGAGAGAACUGGGCUCAGUAUAUGAAGAUCCUUCUGCAGACUAUAAUAACACUAAUUAAAACAAUAAUAGCUACUUUAUAGAUUCCUAAUAAAAUUAUGUAUUGUAUGUGACACAGAAAAAUAAAACAAUAAUAAUUAACAUUUAUCAAGCACUUAUUAGAGCUAGGCACUGUGCUAAUCAUAUUUUGUUCCAUAAAUAUUUAUUUGUUGAAUUGAAUGCAUUAAAUAUUGUUGUUGAUAUUCUAGUCAUCAAUUUGACAUCAACUUGUUAUGCCACCUAACCUCAUAGGUUGUGUGUGCACAUGGGAAAUGAAAGUUAUUUAUUUUUGCCUACUUUAUUUCUAUUAUCUAUUUUAGAUUCAAUAUUCUCUUUUCUCCUUCUUAAGGGGGUUUNNNNNNNNNNGAAACUAUGAUGGGGUGCAAUACCAUUAGCCCACUAGGUGGGCAGAAGAAUUUUUGCACUUUUUUUUUUUUGGUCAAUUUUUUUCUAAAGGAUUGGUAAGCGAUUUUAAUUU
rnacentral:lncRNA from 1 species